GGAGGCUCCUGUGCUGCUGGGAACAGCAAAACUCCUGCUUGUCCCCACUGUGUCCCUGCCAUAGGGCUGGGACAAGUCACAGUGCCCACCCAGUCCCUGCUGAUGCUGCAGGUCCCUGUUCAGCAGCAUUCCCUGGCAGAGGGUGCUGCCAGCUCUGCUCCAGAGGGGCUGGGAGGGACCUGCUGGUGACUGCAGUGUCACUGCAGGGCAUCAAUCCACUGCUCUUCUUCUUCUUCUUCUCCUCCUCCUCCUUCUUCUUCUUCUUCCCCUUCCCCUUCUCCUUCUUCUUCCCCUUCUCCUUCUUCUUCUCCUUCUUCUUCCCCUUCUCCUUCUCCUCCUUCUUCUUCUUCUUCUUCCCCUUCUUCUCCUGCUUCUUCCCCUUCUUCUUCUUCCCCUUCUCCUUCUCCUCCUCCUCCAUUGCCAAGGGCAGCAGUGCCUCACAUCCCCACACCUGGGGAGGGUGACAAAUCCACCUCAGCCACAUCCAGAGCUCUGCCAGCAGCAGGGUGACAAUCUGGGGGAUGGCAGCACACCAGGCCAGCAGGUUUGGUUCUGUUUCCCUGCCCUCAAGGCAGGGUUUUGUCCCAGAUGGGGAUCAGCAGUGCAUGGGCAGUGAGCUGUGGUUUCCCUGCCCCUUGUCCCCGUCACAGUUUGCUGGGCUCUGGGCAGAGAGCAGCCCUGGGGGCUCUGCUGGGCUGUGCUGGCAGAGCUGGGAGGGCACUGAGCCUGUCCCUGCUGCCUUGGGCUGGAAUCAGGGCUGAGCACUCAGCACGUCCUGCAGGGCACAGCGAGCCCAGGGCCACACUCUGGGCCAUGGGACAGUGACACACCAGCAGCAGCACUGCCAGGCUCCAGCCAGACACCCCUUUGGUGGCCAGGGAGGUGAUCCCUGCCCCAGGGGCUCCAUCUGCUCCCACACUGCCAAAGGCCUGGGCCAGCAGGCCUGCCUGCUCCCACCUGCUCCUCACCCUGAUGGAGCAAAGCUCCUGAGCCCAGCAGGACCCCCAGGGGCUGGGCUCCGUGCCAGCUGUCCCUGGUGCAGGGAGGAUGAAGCCAUUGCAGCUGGGGGGCACCUGAAGCCUUUAUCCCCCCAUUCCCCAGUGCCUCCCAGUCCAGCCCAGCUCCCAAGGGCACGGGGUGGAACCGAGCCCCCAAACGAGCCCCUGGGCACUGGGGAGCCCCAGCUGGAGCCCCAGGGGCUCGGCCAGUCCCUGUGUGUGUCCGUGUGUCCCGUGGUGGUGCAUGGAGUGGUGUCCGUCGCGUGUCCUGCCGUGUGCGCCCGGCUGCUGUGGCCUUGCCUCCAAUAAAGAUGGUCAUGAACUCCUCAGCUGCUCCUGGCCUGCCUGGGGGUCAUUCCUGGCCAGCUGUGGCCCUCUGGGGACUCAAAGGGACAAUGCCACUCCAUGCUGCCGGGGCUGAAGGGGUGCAGGCAGCGAUGGAGUGGUGCUCAGUGCGAGCUGCAUCCGGCUAAAUUUGGAGCUUGCAAAAAAAUUUUUUUUUUUUUUUUUUUUUUUUUUUCAUCAGUGGGGGCUAAAUUUAGCAGGCACCGGUCACCAUCCCCCCCUGGCAGCCCUGGCUCUCCAGGGGUUUCAGCUCUUCCUGUGAGCUCCCACCCGCCUGUCCCACGGCUGUCACCUCUGCGUGUCC
rnacentral:lncRNA from 1 species